UACGAGGGGUCCUAGCGUUGUUCGGAAUCAUUGGGCGUAAAGCGGGUGUAGGUGGAUCUUUAAGUCAGAAGUGAAAGCCCCGGGCUUAACCCGGGAAGUGCUUUUGAUACUAUCGAUCUUGAGUGUGGGAGAGGAUGGUAGAAUUCCUGGUGUAGUGGUGAAAUACGUAGAUAUCAGGAGGAAUAUCGGUGGGGAAGCCGGCUAUCUGGCCCAACACUGACACUCAGACCCGAAAGCGUGGGGAGCAAACAGG
rnacentral:misc_RNA from 1 species